AAAGCAACACUGUGCUUAAAAAGUGACAUACCUUAUUAGAGAGACAGCACAAAAAAAUCGUGCAAUUGUUUUACAAGAUGGAAAAUCACAGAAACUACUUCUAUUCUCUAUCUUCUCUGCAAAAGAGAACUAAAUUCUCUGCGGGCCGCAGAACAGGUUUAUAUCCGCCCUGUUCACCAAGGACAGGGCCUCCCCUGCUCCCUGAAGUCUUGUCCAAAUGGUCUGGCUGGACAGUCGCUGCCACCAAAGAAAAGCUGGGCUGCGACACUUACUGGGAGGAGCUGGUUUGCAACCUGGAGGAUGAGGGGUGGGAGGAACAGAGAUGCUGAGAACUCUCAAGCAAAUUUUUUAGCAAAAAAAGCACCUCUAUAAAAGUUGCCAUGCACAGAACAUGUGAAAGGGGUUCGGUGUGUAGAGAGCAGAGUUUAUGAAUGGGGCACACCUUGUGGUCAGACACAGAAGUAAGCCUGCCAUUUGGCCAGCAAGUGGCUUAACGUGUUCUCCCCGCACCUUCCCUUGUAACCUGGGAUGUGUUAAAUUUAUCAGGCUGCAGAAGGAGCCGUGUUCAUCCUCAGAGGGUUCCAGCCACCCUUCUCCAGGUCACCUCUCUGUGCCCCCAAAAGAUGAAGCACUGGGCUCUAGUGGAGCCAAAGCAAGAGGGCUGCCCCCACCCCACAAGGGCUCCGCACAGACCCGCUGUCUCCUCCCCACCUCCAUCCUGGGGCCGCCUCCACUCUGUCCACCCUGGAUCGUGCAACCAGGUGUCUACCCUGACAGUUCUCCUAAGGGGGAGCAGCAGGGCCCUCAGUGGAGCGUGUGGUCCCACCAGGUUGGAAGAGAGGACCCAUCUGUCUCCUUAGCCCCUACUGUCACCCCAAUACAGGCACAGAAAAACACACUGCACUUGAGAAGAAGACCAUUCCUGGUGUUUCCAGAAGUAAGCACAGCACAAUAAGGCAGGACGUAAAGAUGAGCCUACAGCUGAACAAAGAAUAGUCAAAGGAAAAAUAAGCUGAACCAGGAGUGACACUGACGCUCUCCACACACACCCUUCAGUCCCAAAGGUCUCCUAACAGGGGCCGUGCACCUGCACCUAAGUUUUUGAGAAACCGGGGUGAAAGGGCAACAAUGGUCCUGAUUCGUGGUAUGGAAACAAAUAGCACAACUGAGACAAACGAGAUAGAGCGCACCUCAGCCCUUCCAGGUUCCGAGAUAAGAAUUCUCUCCUGCAGGCCCCCAGCCAAGGAACUGAUGCCAGGGAAACAGAGAGAGUCUCGCAGCUCCGACAACAGUGACUUUCCUGGGCUGAUCGCUGUAAUGGCUUCAGUUGCUAAAAUGCAAUUCAGAAAAGAGCAAUCUUUAUUCCUUCAACAUUGAAGACCACAUCCCAUGUGCCCAGCCUGUGCUAGCAGUGGAUACACGCUGGAGAAGAGGAGAGCCUCGAGAUGUCAUAGGGCAUCAGGGGAGACGGGCAGCAAAUCACAGGUCAAUGUCCACAUGCACAGUGGAACUAGCAUACGGAAGAGCAUGAACAGUGAUGAAGUGGGCAACCACACCAGCCACCAGUGACAUCACAGACAGUCUACAUGAUGUGACGACGGUUGUUGCUGGUCUCUCGAAAUACCCUUCAGGCUCAGCACUACCUCAGGACUGCGGUGGGUCCCAAGCCUGCAACCGGGUCUUGUAAUCUAAUGUGUUGCUCUAAAAAAUCCUAUAUAUUUUGUGUUGAGAAAUUUCAUUCUGAGAAGAGGCUCAAAGGCUCCAAGCAGAGGUCUCUGGGAAAUCAAUCAGUCAAUAAAAAGAAUGGCAAUAAAAUUAAGAAGCUCUGCCCUUGAACAAUUGUUCUCACCAUUCUUUAGUGUAAUGGAUGGAUGAAGUAAGAAUCUUUCUGAUUUAUCCAUUAAUGCCAUUUCUUGCAAAUGACCUUUUGAUAAUAAGAGAAUAGCAGUGGGUUCCAAAGCAAUUCACCACAAGAAAAUAGAAAAAAAAGGAGAAAACCAUCUCUAUAGAAUUUAAAAAAAUGGUAAAAUUCAAUAUCUACUUAUCAUCAAAAACUUCUGGAAAACUAUGAGUAGAGGAGCAUGCUCUCAACCUGAUGAAGGACAUCUUCAGGAAAUCUACAUAAACAUCCUACUUGAAUGUAAAACCUAGACGUUUCCUCUCUGAGGUGGAGAAUCUUGCCUGUCCUCACCACUUCUGUUCAACAUGGCCCUGGAAGGUCUAGACACUUCAAUAAGGCAAGAAAAAGAAAUAAAAGGCACAAAGAUUGGUAUAAAAGAAAGAAAACUGUCAUUAUUGACAGAUGAUGUAACUUUAUAAGUAUAAAAUCCAGGAGAAUCUAUAGAUAAGUUAUUAGAAUUAAUGAGUGAAUUUAAGAAGGUUACUGGAUUGUGGUCAAUAUAUAAAAAUCAAUUGGAUAUUUUUCUCCUGGCAGCAAACAGAAAUAAUUUAAGAAAAAAAAGAUAAUGUAGCAGAUGCUUGCCGUGCUCUGUGCUACAUCCUAUCCACCAACCUGAUUUCAGCACAGCUGUGGUGGACAGUUCCACACACGUGGUCGUGUCCUACAUCAAGCACACACUGUGGGGUCUGCUUCUCCGCUCAGGGAAUUCAUCCAAGAUGCAGAAGUCCUCUCAGUCUGUGCACAGAGACACCCCAGAAGUGCAGGAACAGUAAUACCUUGGGAGGCCACCCUCAACCAUUCGAGGAAUGGGGUUGUUGGCAAAAUUCCCAGCCCGUCCUUUGGUGGGAAAAUCCUGGGACCCAUUCUCCAAUUUCUGUGAAACC
rnacentral:lncRNA from 1 species